rnacentral:rRNA from 1 species
GAAGCUUGCUACUGAUCUUAGCGGCGGACGGGUGAGUAAUGCUUAGGAAUCUGCCUAUUAGUGGGGGACAACAUUUCGAAAGGAAUGCUAAUACCGCAUACGUCCUACGGGAGAAAGCAGGGGAUCUUCGGACCUUGCGCUAAUAGAUGAGCCUAAGUCGGAUUAGCUAGUUGGUGGGGUAAAGGCCUACCAAGGCGACGAUCUGUAGCGGGUCUGAGAGGAUGAUCCGCCACACUGGGACUGAGACACGGCCCAGACUCCUACGGGAGGCAGCAGUGGGGAAUAUUGGACAAUGGGCGCAAGCCUGAUCCAGCCAUGCCGCGUGUGUGAAGAAGGCCUUAUGGUUGUAAAGCACUUUAAGCGAGGAGGAGGCUACUUUAGUUAAUACCUAGAGAUAGUGGACGUUACUCGCAGAAUAAGCACCGGCUAACUCUGUGCCAGCAGCCGCGGUAAUACAGAGGGUGCAAGCGUUAAUCGGAUUUACUGGGCGUAAAGCGCGCGUAGGCGGCUAAUUAAGUCAAAUGUGAAAUCCCCGAGCUUAACUUGGGAAUUGCAUUCGAUACUGGUUAGCUAGAGUGUGGGAGAGGAUGGUAGAAUUCCAGGUGUAGCGGUGAAAUGCGUAGAGAUCUGGAGGAAUACCGAUGGCGAAGGCAGCCAUCUGGCCUAACACUGACGCUGAGGUGCGAAAGCAUGGGGAGCAAACAGGAUUAGAUACCCUGGUAGUCCAUGCCGUAAACGAUGUCUACUAGCCGUUGGGGCCUUUGAGGCUUUAGUGGCGCAGCUAACGCGAUAAGUAGACCGCCUGGGGAGUACGGUCGCAAGACUAAAACUCAAAUGAAUUGACGGGGGCCCGCACAAGCGGUGGAGCAUGUGGUUUAAUUCGAUGCAAC